rnacentral:rRNA from 1 species
GAGUUUGAUCAUGGCUCAGAUUGAACGCUGGCGGCAUGCCUUACACAUGCAAGUCGAACGGCAGCACGGACUUCGGUCUGGUGGCGAGUGGCGAACGGGUGAGUAAUGUAUCGGAACGUACCUUUCAGUGGGGGAUAACGUAGCGAAAGUUACGCUAAUACCGCAUAUUCUGUGAGCAGGAAAGCAGGGGAUCGCAAGACCUUGCGCUGAUUGAGCGGCCGAUAUCAGAUUAGCUAGUUGGUGGGGUAAAAGCUCACCAAGGCGACGAUCUGUAGCGGGUCUGAGAGGAUGAUCCGCCACACUGGAACUGAGACACGGUCCAGACUCCUACGGGACGCAGCAGA